rnacentral:rRNA from 1 species
GUGGGGAAUUUUGGACAAUGGGCGCAAGCCUGAUCCAGCAAUGCCGCGUGCAGGAAGAAGGCCUUCGGGUUGUAAACUGCUUUUGUACGGAACGAAACGGUCCGGGUUAAUACCCUGGGCUAAUGACGGUACCGUAAGAAUAAGCACCGGCUAACUACGUGCCAGCAGCCGCGGUAAUACGUAGGGUGCAAGCGUUAAUCGGAAUUACUGGGCGUAAAGCGUGCGCAGGCGGUUUUGUAAGACAGGCGUGAAAUCCCCGGGCUCAACCUGGGAACUGCCUCCAAAACUGCAUGACUAGAGUACGGUAGAGGGUAGUGGAAUUUCCUGUGUAGCAGUGAAAUGCGUAGAUAUGCGGAGGAACACCGAUGGCGAAGGCAAUCCCCUGGACCUGUACUGACGCUCAUGCACGAAAGCGUGGGGAGCAAACAGGAUUAGAUACCCUUGUAGUCC